UGGGGAAUCUUGGACAAUGGGCGCAAGCCUGAUCCAGCCAUGCCGCGUGAGUGAUGAAGGCCUUAGGGUUGUAAAGCUCUUUUGCCGGGGACGAUAAUGACGGUACCCGGAGAAUAAGUCCCGGCUAACUUCGUGCCAGCAGCCGCGGUAAUACGAAGGGGACUAGCGUUGUUCGGAAUCACUGGGCGUAAAGCGCACGUAGGCGGAUUUGUAAGUCAGGGGUGAAAUCCCGGGGCUCAACCUCGGAACUGCCUUUGAUACUGCGGAUCUCGAGUCCGAUAGAGGUGAGUGGAAUUCCUAGUGUAGAGGUGAAAUUCGUAGAUAUUAGGAAGAACACCGGUGGCGAAGGCGGCUCACUGGAUCGGUACUGACGCUGAGGUGCGAAAGCGUGGGAGCAAACAGGAUUAGAUACCCAUGUAGUCCCUGAGCGGGCUGGCAAGGCGCAU
rnacentral:rRNA from 1 species